rnacentral:rRNA from 1 species
CAGCAGCCACGGUAAUACGGAGGGUGCAAGCGUUAAUCGGAGUUACUGGGCGUAAAGCGCACGCAGGCGGUCUGUCAAGUCGGAUGUGAAAUCCCCGGGCUCAACCUGGGAACUGCAUUCGAAACUGGCAGGCUAGAGUCUUGUAGAGGGGGGUAGAAUUCCAGGUGUAGCGGUGAAAUGCGUAGAGAUCUGGAGGAAUACCGGUGGCGAAGGCGGCCCCCUGGACAAAGACUGACGCUCAGGUGCGAAAGCGUGGGGAGCAAACAGGAUUAGAUACCCCAGUAGUCCCUGUCUCUUAUAC